rnacentral:rRNA from 1 species
UAAACCCCUUUCAGCAGGGAAGAAGCGAGAGUGACGGUACCUGCAGAAGAAGCGCCGGCUAACUACGUGCCAGCAGCCGCGGUAAUACGUAGGGCGCAAGCGUUGUCCGGAAUUAUUGGGCGUAAAGAGCUCGUAGGCGGUUUGUCGCGUCUGCUGUGAAAACCCGAGGCUCAACCUCGGGCCUGCAGUGGGUACGGGCAGACUAGAGUGCGGUAGGGGAGACUGGAAUUCCUGGUGUAGCGGUGGAAUGCGCAGAUAUCAGGAGGAACACCGAUGGCGAAGGCAGGUCUCUGGGCCGCAACUGACGCUGAGGAGCGAAAGCGUGGGGAGCGAACAGGAUUAGAUACCCUGGUAGUCCACGCCGUAAACGUUGGGCACUAGGUGUGGGACUCAUUCCACGAGUUCCGUGCCGCAGCAAACGCAUUAAGUGCCCCGCCUGGGGAGUACGGCCGCAAGGCUAAAACUCAAAGGAAUUGACGGGGGCCCGCACAAGCGGCGGAGCAUGCGGAUUAAUUCGAUGCAACGCGAAGAACCUUACCAAGGCUUGACAUAUACCGAAAACUCAUGGAGACAUGGGGUCCGCAAGGGCGGUAUACAGGUGGUGCAUGGUUGUCGUCAGC